rnacentral:rRNA from 1 species
AUUGAACGCUGGCGGAAUGCUUUACACAUGCAAGUCGAACGGUAGAGGGGGCAACCCCUUGAGAGUGGCGGACGGGUGAGUAAUAUAUCGGAACGUGCCCAGUCGUGGGGGAUAACGUAGUGAAAAUUACGCUAAUACCGCAUACGAUCUAAGGAUGAAAGCGGGGGAUCGCAAGACCUCGCGCGAUUGGAGCGGCCGAUAUCAGAUUAGGUAGUUGGUAGGGUAAAGGCCUACCAAGCCAACGAUCUGUAGCUGGUCUGAGAGGACGACCAGCCACACUGGAACUGAGACACGGUCCAGACUCCUACGGGAGGCAGCAGUGGGGAAUUUUGGACAAUGGGCGAAAGCCUGAUCCAGCCAUUCCGCGUGCAGGAUGAAGGCCCUCGGGUUGUAAACUGCUUUUGUACAGAACGAAAAGGUCUCUAUUAAUACUAGGGGCUCGUGACGGUACUGUAAGAAUAAGCACCGGCCAACUACGUGCCAGCCGCCGCAGUAA